UAGUCCACACCGUAAACGCUGUCUACUAGCUGUUUGUGACUAUAUGUUGUGAGUAGCGAAGCUAACGCGCUAAGUAGACCGCCUGGGGAGUACGGUCGCAAGAUUAAAACUCAAAUGAAUUGACGGGGGCCCGCACAAGCGGUGGAGCAUGUGGUUUAAUUCGAUGCAACGCGAAGAACCUUACCUACACUUGACAUUCAGCAAACUUUUCAGAGAUGAAUUGGUGCCUUCGGGAAUGCUGGGACAGGUGCUGCAUGGCUGUCGUCAGCUCGUGUCGUGAGAUGUUGGGUUAAGUCCCGNAACGAGCGCAACCCUUGUCCUUAGUUACCAGCAUUGAGUUGGGUACUUUAAGGAGACUGCCGGUGAACAAACCGGGAGGAAGGUGGGGACGACGUCAAGUCAUCAUGGCCCUUACGGACGUAGGGGCUACACACGUGCUACAAUGGCGAGUACAGAGGGAAGCGAACUUGUGAGAGUAAGCGGG
rnacentral:rRNA from 1 species